UACGGGGGGCGCAAGCGUUGUUCGGAUUUACUGGGCGUAAAGGGAGCGUAGGCGGCCAGAAAAAGACAGUUGUGAAAUCUCCGAGCUUAACUCGGAAAGGUCAACUGAUACUGUGCGGCUAGAGUGCGGAAGGGGCAACUGGAAUUCUUGGUGUAGCGGUGAAAUGCGUAGAUAUCAAGAGGAACACCUGCGGCGAAGGCGGGUUGCUGGGCCGACACUGACGCUGAGGCGCGAAAGCCAGGGGAGCGAACGGG
rnacentral:rRNA from 1 species